rfam:Dipodomys ordii contig_3037, whole genome shotgun sequence.
ACCACUGAGCCACCUUCCCAGCCCCCACAUUUUUUUUUUUAAUAAUUUCUCUUGGGCUAGGAAGGUGGCUCAGUGGU